rnacentral:rRNA from 1 species
CCUACGGGUGGCUGCAGUCGAGAAUCAUUCACAAUGGGGGAAACCCUGAUGGUGCGACGCCGCGUGGGGGAAUGAAGGUCUUUGGAUUGUAAACCCCUGUCAUGUGGGAGCAAAUUAAAAAGAGAGUACCACAAGAGGAAGAGACGGCUAACUCGGUGCCAGCAGCCGCGGUAAUACAGAGGUCUCAAGCGUUGUUCGGAAUCACUGGGCGUAAAGCGUGCGGAGGCGGUUGCGUAAGUCGGGUGUGAAAGGCGCAGGCUCAACCCGCGGAAGGCACAUGAGACUGCGAGACUAGAGUGAUGGAGGGGUAACCGGAAUUCUCGGUGUAGCAGUGAAAUGCGUAGAUAUC